rnacentral:rRNA from 1 species
GAUGAACGCUGACAGAAUGCUUAACACAUGCAAGUCAACUUGAACUUCGGUUUGGGUGGCGGACGGGUGAGUAACGCGUAAAGAACUUGCCUCACAGCUAGGGACAACAUUUGGAAACGAAUGCUAAUACCUGAUAUUAUGAUUUUAGGGCAUCCUAGAAUUAUGAAAGCUAUAUGCGCUGUGAGAGAGCUUUGCGUCCCAUUAGCUAGUUGGAGAGGUAACGGCUCACCAAGGCGAUGAUGGGUAGCCGGCCUGAGAGGGUGAACGGCCACAAGGGGACUGAGACACGGCCCUUACUCAUACGGGAGGCAGCAGUGGGGAAUAUUGGACAAUGGACCAAGAGUCUGAUCAAGCAAUUCUGUGUGCACGAUGAAGUUUUUCGGAAUGUAAAGUGCUUUCAGUUGGGAAGAAAAAAAUGACGGUACCAACAGAAGAAGUGACGGCUAAAUACGUG